UUCCCGGCCCUUCUUUUGGUCAUCGUUGUUUACAUAACCGAUUGGAUAAGGAUGUGCCUCCAAACGAAUCAGAUCUGGACAGAAAUUAAUAAUCUUCCUUCUGUUUCUCUCUCUCCCUCUUUCUCUACUACCGAUGCAAUAGUUGGAUUAGGAUCGACGGAAAUUAGAGAGCGAGAAAAUGAGAAAACUACCAUAUUUGGUCACAAGCACAGCCGGUUGGAUUGGUAGAAUGCAUGUGAGCAAGCGGACGUUUAAGAAUGAUCGUGCUCGUCCGCGUUCCAAGAUGUAGAAGAUGCUACUGAUUUCAUCGGAAACUACCACGUACGGCGGUGCACGGCCAAGUUGUUAAGGACCGGCAUGGGACGGCUGUACAUAACGAUCGAUGGGUUGCUGCUCCAGUACGGCGGGACGACGACGUUUUACGGCGGCACAUGGCGAUGCCAAGAACUCACGGCUGGAUCAGUUUUAAUCAAUACAUGAUCACAUGCAUGGAUGGCGGGCAUCACAUUUGCAUCCAUAAUCUACGUACUAGAUCUUGUAUACUUUAUA